GACGAACGCUGGCGGCGUGCUUAACACAUGCAAGUCGAACGGAAAGGCCCUGCUUUUGUGGGGUGCUCGAGUGGCGAACGGGUGAGUAACACGUGAGUAACCUGCCCUUGCCUUUGGGAUAACUUCAGGAAACUGGGGCUAAUACCGGAUAGGAGCUCCUGCUGCAUGGUGGGGGUUGGAAAGUUUCGGCGGUUGGGGAUGGACUAGCGGCUUAUCAGCUUGUUGGUGGGGUAGUGGCUUACCAAGGCUUUGACGGGUAGCCGGCCUGAGAGGGUGAGCGGCCACAUUGGGACUGAGAUGCGGCCCAGACUCCAAUGGGAGGCAGCAGUGGGGAAUAUUGCACAAUGGGCGGAAGCCUGAUGCAGCAACGCCGCGUGCGGGAUGACGGCCUUCGGGUUGUAAACCGCUUUCGCCUGUGACGAAGCGUGAGUGACGGUAAUGGGUAAAGAAGCACCGGCUAACUACGUG
rnacentral:rRNA from 1 species